CCGAGUUUACAACUCCCAAACCCAUGUGAACAUACCUAUCGUUGCUUCGGCGGAUCGCCCGGGCGCCUUGCGUGCCCCCGGGAUCCAGGCGGCCGCCGGGGGACCUUAACUCUUGUUUUUUACUGAGAAAUCUUCUGAGUCGUUUUUUACAAAUAAAUAA
rnacentral:misc_RNA from 1 species